AUUGAACGCUGGCGGCAUGCCUUACACAUGCAAGUCGAACGGCAGCGGACCUUCGGGUGCCGGCGAGUGGCGAACGGGUGAGUAAUAUAUCGGAACGUACCUUUCAGUGGGGGAGUAACGUAGCGAAAGUUACGCUAAUACCGCAUAUUCUGUGAGCAGGAAAGCAGGGGAGUCGCAAGACCUUGCGCUGAUUGAGCGGCCGAUAUCAGAUUAGCUAGUUGGUGAGGUAAAGGACUCACCAAGGCGACGAUCUGUAGCGGGUCUGAGAGGAUGAUCCGCCACACUGGAACUGAGACACGGUCCAGACUCCUACGGGAGGCAGCAGUGGGGAAUUUUGGUACAAUGGGCGCAAGCCUGAUCCAGCCAUGCCGCGUGAGUGAAGAAGGCCUCGGUU
rnacentral:rRNA from 1 species